rnacentral:rRNA from 1 species
UACAGAGGUCUCGAGCGUUAGGCGGAAUCACUGGGUCUUAAAGCUGUGGUGUAGGCGGAUCGGUAAGUACCUUGUGAAAAUUCCCACAGCUUAACUGUGGAAACUGCUUGGUAUACUGCCAGUCUUGAGCCAGCUAGGGGCUACCGGAACAAAUGGUGGAGCGGUGAAAUGCGUAGAUAUCAUUGGAACGCCAAUGGUGAAAACAGGUAGCUGGGGCUGUGCUGACGCUGAGACACGAAAGCCAGGGGAAGCAAACGGG